CCCUUUAAGGGCGGACGCUCCCCUUUAAGGGCGGACGCCGUUACUAAGGGGGCGCGUGAGGCGCGGAAACCGAAUCGCGGCGCGCGGGAGGGUGUCAUGGCGGCUGCCUGCCUGGAAGAUCCAUCCCUAGAGAGGCACUUCAAAGGCCACAGAGAUGCUGUCACUAGUGUGGACUUCAGUCUCAAUAAGAAACAAUUGGCAAGUGGCUCAAUGGAUUCGUGCUUGAUGAUCUGGAGUAUGAGACCUCAGAUGAGAGCCUAUCGCUUUGUGGGCCACAAAGAUGCAGUGAUGUGUGUUCAGUUUUCACCCUCUGGCCAUCUAGUAGCUUCAGGCUCUAGAGAUAAAACAGUUCGUUUAUGGGUUCCCAGUGUUAAAGGAGAAUCUACUGUGUUCAAGGCUCAUACGGCAACUGUAAGAAGUGUUCAUUUCUCCAGCGAUGGCCAGUCCUUGGUUACAGCUUCUGAUGAUAAAACAAUCAAAGUGUGGACUGUUCACAGGCAGAAGUUUCUAUUCUCACUUAGUCAACACAUAAACUGGGUUCGCUGUGCCAAGUUCUCUCCUGAUGGACGAUUAAUAGUGUCAGCCAGCGAUGACAAAACUGUGAAACUGUGGGAUAAAACCAGCAGAGAAUGUAUACAUUCCUUCUGUGAGCAUGGUGGGUUUGUGAAUCAUGUGGAAUUUCAUCCCAGUGGUACAUGCAUUGCUGCAGCUGGUACAGAUAACACAGUGAAGGUGUGGGACGUUAGGAUGAAUAGACUUCUCCAACAUUAUCAAGUUCACAGUGCUGUGGUAAACAGUCUUUCCUUUCACCCCUCUGGAAAUUAUCUGGUUACUGCUUCCAAUGAUUCAACUCUUAAAAUUCUGGAUUUGCUAGAAGGACGGCUUCUGUAUACUCUUCAUGGUCACCAGGGGCCAGCCACCUGUGUAGCGUUCUCAAGAACGGGAGACUCAUUUGCUUCCGGAGGCUCUGAUGAACAGGUGAUGGUAUGGAAGACUAACUUUGAUGCGGCAGAUUAUGGUGAUGUGCUGAAAACACAGAAGUCUGGCACUAGUGUGGAUGGGACCCAUCACAAUCUGCAAUCAGAAAUGGAGUGUGGUGUUCAUCUUAAGAAAACUAAAACUCAAGAUCCUGGUAGGAACCACCAGCAGCAAGAGGAGGAGACCAUUGCAAAUACUCUAGAGCACAUUGUGGGACAGCUGGAUGUUCUGACUCAGAAAUGCUCCAUUUGGGAACUGCAGAAGAAGGUCUGACUGGUGUUCAUGAGUGAGCUGUGUUUCAUUUCCACGUCAGGUUAAAUGAGAGGGUGUGUGGCAGAGCAGAGGGACUGAGAUGGAGAGCGCUGACAGGCACGGCUGUGGCACCUGCUUCCCUCUUACUCAGACUUCAACUGCUCCCUCUGCUCAAACUUGUGGCUGUCGUGUGCUUGGGAGCAGUGCCCACCGCAGGGGCGAAGUCAGGAACUGGAAGGUGUUUCAGGUAAGCAUCCGCUAAUGAUGCUAUUAGCUCUUGUCCUGCCGUAACUCAUGGUUAAGGUCUGUGUUUGUAAAACAUGAGACAAAGACCAGGAUGAAAGAGACAUCAAAGCGUAACAGAAGGGAAAAGUGUGGAUUGAUGCCUUUACUAGGUAGCUCACCAAACACACUGAAGUCCUCCAGAGAGAUGACAUUGAGGAGGGAAGGAUAAUGAGAGGAAAAAUGAGAAGCAAGAGAGGUGAGGAUUAUCACAUCCUCUGGAAUCAGUGUAGCCACGAGACUUUGCAACUAGUGUGCUCAGCCUUGCACGUGGGCCUUCCAGAGCUGGUGAGAAGUUCUGAGUGGAGCCACAGGCUUGGCUGUCUUUCCAGCCUGCGGGGUCAACAGUCGGAGACUGCGGAAGGUGAGAGGCAGCAGAGGAGGAAACACAGUAGCGAUAGUGUCUGGAUCAGCAUCACAAAAGAGGAGGGACCAGAUGAGGACACCAGUGGUCUGAAAUCAAGCCAGCCUGGGACGCCCUGAUGGCGCUUGGGCAGCACCGCACGCCGGUGGUUGCAUCCGCCUCCCUCGCACACCCAGAGAGGACCCAAGGAGUCCCCGUAAUGUUUCUGGGCCCCGGGUGGUUGCAGUACGCCAACCUCGGGCACGCCAGUCUCAAGACCCAGCUGUACCUUCUUUGCACAACCCGCUGCUGUUUCAUUUAUGAAUUGGAGGUGCUCUGAUAAACACACUGAAAGGUCAGCUAUUUUCACUGUGGCUUGCAUAAGAACCUCAACAUCCUCUGCUGCAAGAGCCGUGUUAGUAACUUCCUACUGCAGCACUGAAUCACAAUAGCUUCCCACAAUAACCCGCAGUAAAAAUAAACCGGGUAAGGGGAAGUGGACGGCUUCGGUUGUUCCUCUUUCUCGGGCACACUUGAGUCACAAAAAAACUAUGUAGAACAAGACUUUUAUGUUGCUAAUAGCAAUGAAAUCCACGGGCAGUUCUGAUCACGGCCCCUGAAAUCCCAUCGCGUUUUGCAAUGGGGCGCUGAGUGCUUAAAGCGAAGAAUGUGUUCAAAUGCGGCGUUGAUUCUGCGUUUUCAUUAGAAUCCGCACUUACGAAUAGGCUAAAAGGCUAGCGACCCCGAUGUAGCUGAGUGCUACUUUUGUACUGAAGACGAAGGAAAAUCCUUUCUGUAAAAAACGCGCGCCUUGGGAAGUUGUACAUGUCAAGGGUAGGUGUCUCCCCACUGGGGACACAGUGGCUCUGCUAAGGCUUCAGUAACACGUCUUGGCUUGGAGGAAAAACAGGUCUUGACCGGGUGUGAAGUGGCAUCAAAUACAGUCCGGUUUAAGUA